rnacentral:rRNA from 1 species
CCUGUUUAACAAAAACAUGUCUUUUUGAGUUAUUUUUAAAGUCUGACCUGCCCACUGAUUAAAAUUAAAUGGCCGCAGUAUUUUAACUGUGCAAAGGUAGCAUAAUCAUUAGUCUUUUAAUUGAAGGCUGGUAUGAACGGUUGGACGAGGUAUAAGCUGUUUCAUGUGAAUUUAUAAUAGAAUUUUAUAUUUUAGUUAAAAAGCUAAAAUUUAAUUAAAAGACGAGAAGACCCUAUAAAUCUUUAUAUUUUAAAUUAUUUAAGUUUUGUGGAUUUAUUUUAUUUUUAUAGUUUGGAGUAUUUUGUUGGGGUGAUGUUAAAAUUUAAUGAACUUUUAAUUAUUUAGAACCAUUAAUUUAUGAGCUAUUGAUCCAUUAAUAGUGAUUAUAAGUUUAAGUUACUUUAGGGAUAACAGCGUAAUUUUUUUGGAGAGUUCUUAUCGAUAAAAAAGUUUGCGACCUCGAUGUUGGAUUAAGAUAUAUUUUUA